UUUGCAAUGCAGCAUGCGACGACCUGCAUAGUUGAUCCAAUCCUCAUCAGUUUGGGCAAAUCCAAGGGUCCUAAAGUGCAAACCCCCAACCACCGGGAGCCUGUCACUUGCAAAACAGUCAUCCACUCAGUAGCACUUUGCACAAGCGUGUCCGACACCGCUCUACCACCACCUCCUGAUGAGGACGAACACCCUUGGCUGUAUCUAAAAUAAAUGUUUUAUUUUAUCGAAAUGAAGGAUUCAUCCUACCGGAUGAAAUGUCUGUUAUGUUCAGGAAAUACUAGCGUUCAAGAACUCUACUUCGAACCUAAAAAAAACACAUUGAGCUUUCCAAGUUUUUGGAGAAGAUAAAAACAGAGGCAGUGGAAGCAGUGGGUGGUGAAGCAGCUCAGCCAGGACAGGAAGAUGGUGAAGAGGAACAAGAGGAGUGAAGAAGUGGAGUUUUUUGAUGUGGCAACGAUCCUGAAAAAUGAUGGUUUUGAGUAGCAGCUGCCGAAGCACCAGUGCUGUGCUUGCCACCUACUCAACUUAGUAUCUACAGUCGAUGCCCUGAAAGCAACAUCCAGUGAGGCUUACAAAAAAGUGUCCAGUUCAACAUUUGGCAAGUGCCAAGCACUUUGGAACAAAUGCGGAAGAUCCACACUUGCAGCCGAAACGGUUGAAGACACUUGCGACCUCCAGCUGCUGUGCCCGAAUGCUACAAGGUGGAACUCCUGGUUCAUGGCUGUAGAAAGACUCCUAAGGAUCGUCAAAGACAAAGGAGAGGCGGCCGUCAAGAGUUCUCUGCACAGACUUCGAGGUUCCAAUGUUCAAUUCAGCUGAACUCACCUUCCUUACAGAGUAUGCUGCCACCAUGAGCCCAGUUGCAAAGGCCAUCAACAUCCUGCUGGCUGAAACCAAUGUCCAGAUGGGGUGGCUACUUCCAACUAUCAACCUGCUGGUCACAAAACUUGACCAAAUCAAGUUGUCCCUGAAGUACUGUAAGCCUCUGGUGGAUGCGCAACAACUGGAACUGAAGAAGCGCUUCAGCCACGUUUCACGACCCUGAGCUGAUCGCAGCUGCAAUCCUUCUCCCCAAAUUCAAAACAACGUGGACAAAGGAUGACGCCACCAUCAGAAUGGGAAUGGACUACAUCAAGGACCACCUGGCUGCAGCUAGGUGAUGGCACCAGUUCAUCAGAUGAGGAGGACUUCUUCUCCGCCAUGAAGACGUCUCAAGCACAAGAAAGCUCCAAACAGCUGGACGGAUACCUGGCCUGUUCAGCUGAUCAUAUGGAGUUGCUCAAGUCCUUCCCGGCAGUCUGUAAGCUGUCUCUGAGGCUAAACACACCCUUAGCUGCAUGUGAAAGGCUGUUCAGCAUUGCAGGACUUGUUUUCAGCCCCAGGAGAGCAAGGCUGGAUUCCAGAAACUUUAAAAACCAGCUUUUACUGAAGAUGAACCGUAAAUUCUUCAACUUCAAGUAAUGACAGCUUAACGCUAGCAAGCCCAAGGACACGGAUGCCUUAUGCGUUUUGUUAAUUUAUGUUUAAAAUUCACAAGUUAUAGUUGUCCUUGUUACAAAGGCAUGACCUGACACACUGAUUUCUAAUACAGUUCUAUCAGUGGUGAUGUCCUCAUAUUCCUACAGUGAGGUUGUGUGCAGUUCUGUACAUGUACUUUUGAUUUAAAAAAAUAAAUAAAUGAUGAGCUUAUGUAUAGGGUUCUAUUAUAGGAUGUUUUUUCUAAAGCAAAGUGACUGUGAUUGUAAGUGGGUACGUUUACUGGCUAUAUUCCUUCAUUAUUAAGGCAUAAUUGUAUUUUGUCUGUGAGAGAUGUAUUCUGAAGUGUUACCUAUUUGAGAAUCCACUUUUUGUAUCCGUAAGACUUACCUUUCAGAAAAGCUCAAACCAAAUAAAAGGUCAGGCUGUUUUGCUUUUUG